rnacentral:rRNA from 1 species
GACAGAGGGUGCAAACGUUGCUCGGAAUUACUGGGCGUAAAGCGCGUGUAGGCGGGAAGAUAAGUCGGGUGUGAAAUCCCUGGGCUCAACCUAGGAACUGCAUUCGAAACUGUCUUUCUGGAGUGAUGGAGAGGAAAGCGGAAUCCCCGGUGUAGAGGUGAAAUUCGUAGAUAUCGGGAGGAACACCAGUGGCGAAGGCGGCUUUCUGGUCUGUAACUGACGCUGAGGCGCGAAAGCGUGGGGAGCAAACAGG